CCAGGUAAUUCUGGUCCCUCUGACUCAGCCAAAUCCCCUGAUUACACUGGACAUGCUGCAGAUGAUUCCACAGAUGUUACAUAUUGUCUCGUUGAAUUGAAAAACAAUGACAAAAAGAGUAGGCCUCAUAACCCAGAGGACUGUACUGUUUACUCUCAAGUGAAAACAGAAGCAACAGAAAGGAGGAGCCCUGCAGCAGCAGAUGCUUUAUAUUCUGAAAUCAGUUCGGAAUCACCACUGGAUGAUGUUGCUGCGUAAGCUGCGUGCUGUGUCCUUUUGAUGGUUACCCCAAGAUAAUUUGAACCAAAUAUUCACCUUCUUCAACUUUGAAAACCAUCAAUAUUUCAUGUGCUUUUGUUUUUUAUGAGACUAAGCAUGCCUUUAAAUGCAAUAUCAGGCAUUUUUUUUUGUGUGUUGGUGUGUAUAUUUUGUUGUAUAAUUUGAAGUAGCUUCUUUUUGGGACUUCUGAAUCUCUCUUUAAUAUUUUAUAUUGUUAGAUUUAAAAGUAUUAUGUUAUAACAUGCAGUAACCAAACAAAAAAGUGAAAUAUUAUAUUUAUAAGAGAUUUUGCUCUCAUUUAAAUUUUCUGUUGUUUAGAACAUGCCAUUUAGAUCAGUCUUUGAGCAGUGAGGUGCUUGCAAUGCUUCUAUUUGCUGGUCACAUUAAAUAGAGAAUUAAUUAAAUUAUACAUAUACAUAUUACUGUAACGUAUUUAAAGAUGCUUUAAAGAUGAAAGACUAUUGUUUUCAUUUUUAAUGUGCAAUA